GUUCUUUUGAUUUACCACAAGCUUCUGUGUUUUCAUAUGGUUUUAAAGGCUGCUUAUGGUGUCAAAAUCCUUACUGUGCACUUAUAUUGAUUUUAAUAGUACUACAGACUUCAGUAUUUAGAGCAAAUUUUCCCUGACAAACUUUGAAUGAUAUAUAUAUCCUUGCCAGGUUCUUGUAGCAGUUAUUUAUAAUUUAAUACUGUGUAGUUAUAUUAAAUGUCAACAGCUAAAACAGGAAAGUGAAAAAUUGCUUUGCAAGGCCAAAGAUAUCAAGUUCAAACCAAUAACCA